rnacentral:rRNA from 1 species
UACGAAGGGGGCUAGCGUUGCUCGGAAUCACUGGGCGUAAAGGGUGCGUAGGCGGGUCUUUAAGUCAGGGGUGAAAUCCUGGAGCUCAACUCCAGAACUGCCUUUGAUACUGAAGAUCUUGAGUCCGGGAGAGGUGAGUGGAACUGCGAGUGUAGAGGUGAAAUUCGUAGAUAUUCGCAAGAACACCAGUGGCGAAGGCGGCUCACUGGCCCGGUACUGACGCUGAGGUGCGAAAGCGUGGGGAGCAAACAGGG